GACUGCGUGGCCUAAAGGGUAAGGUGUCUGACUUUGGAUCAGAAGACAGGGUUCGAGUCCCUUCGCAGUUG
rnacentral:tRNA from 1 species